UAAGACAGAGGGUGCGAGCGUUGUUCGGAAUUAUUGGGCGUAAAGCGCGCGUAGGCGGCUUGGUCAGUCGAAUGUGAAAUCCCGUGGCUUAACCAUGGAAGUGCAUUCGAAACUACCUGGCUCGAGUGUCGGAGAGGGUGGUGGAAUUCCCAGUGUAGAGGUGAAAUUCGUAGAUAUUGGGAGGAACACCAGUGGCGAAGGCGACCGCCUGGACGACAACUGACGCUGAGGCGCGAGAGCGUGGGGAGCAAACAGGAUUAGAUACCCUGGUAGUCCACGCCGUAAACGAUGGGUACUAGGUGUUGCGGGUAUUGACCCCUGCAGUGCCGACGCUAACGCAAUAAGUACCCCGCCUGGGAAGUACGGCCGCAAGGCUA
rnacentral:rRNA from 1 species